GAGUUUGUAAGUGGUCAGCCUGGGGACAGUGAGACUGAGAUGUGCGUUCAUGAGACUUCUCCAUUUUUUUUUUCUUUCUCUCUUUGAAUGAAUACAACGUUGCCCGGUUGGAAUAUUAUCGCUAUUUUACGAGAAAAAUAGCAUAAAAAUUGAUUUUAAACAGCGUUUGACAUGCUUCUAAGUACGGUAAUGGAAUAUUUUGAUUUUUUUUUCACGAAAUGUGCUCGCGCGUUACCCUUCGGAUAGUGACCUGAACGCACGAACAAAACGGAGGUAUUUGGAUAUAACUAUGGAUUAUUUGGAACCAAGUAGAAGUGAAGUAGAAGUCCUGGGAGUGCAUUCUGACAAAGAACAGCAAAGGAGGUGGCAUGAUGUCGUCAGACAGGGAUAAAAGGGCUGUGUUUGGUAAAGGGAUCGCGUUCGACCCCUGCCAGCUUCGAGACCCUUGGGAGAACAGACCUCAGAAGAUCAGUGAGAAGGGACGACAGGAGAAGGAGGGGCAGGAAAAUAGAGACCUGAAUCGGUGUGACUGCGGAGCAUGCGUCUCCUCCUGUUAUCUUAAAAUGGCUGCAUUUCCUGCCAACCAGGAAGAGGAAAAAAGAGCCGCUGCUACCUCCAAGUCCUUAGACUAGCUCUAGCCUAUGGACUGAACUCCCAAUCACAGUUGAAAAUAAUUAUAUCUAGUCUCUGUGUUUAUUGUGACAUUCUGAGUACAUCUUGUCGGCUCAGUGUCUGUGGGGACUUGGAGACAGUCAGCAAAGGUAAUUCUUGUUUUUUUGUGUGUUUGUGGGCUUGGCUAUACCAUGCAUGUAGCACUUUAAAGUCUUUCAGACAUUUUUGAGAGAGAUGAAUGCAUUUUUUGUUACACUUAAUACAGUUUGCUGUGUGUGCACUAUAGAUGGGUUAGCUGAUAACGUCAUAAACGAUUCACACAUUUCAAUGGUGAGUUGUGAUUCUGGAUGGCCAGAUAGCUUCCAACAAUGACAAACUGCCUGUGGGGAAUCGUAAGUGACUAGUUUCAUGUUCUUUAUGUGUCUUGUUGAGGUGUUUUGACUGGUUUCAUGUCAAUGCUAAUAUGGCAAAUUUGCUAGCUAGCAAACCAACAGUAGCAAUGUAUUUGAGACAAGUGCUCAUUGUGUAAAUGUAUGUUUUCAAUAAACAUUUGACAAAUCAAUUAUAUUUAUUCAAUCUAAGCCAACUGUUUGUUUUGCCCCAUAGCUCUGCAUGUGCUGGUUGCUCAACAACCAACCUGUCUAUAGUUGCUGUGCUUUAAGAUACUUUUACUAGCCUUAAUUGAAUAUUGCAUUUAAACACUGAAGUCUUACAUGAAUGCCUUGUUGUAUUAGACACACAACUGUAACCUUGAAAUAUUGCUUGUAAUAACAUUAAAGAGGCGCUAACUUGCCGAUUCCGCUUGGGAUUUUUCGUUACUCAUUAAGAACAUUUAGAUUUAUGUCUUGGAGUUGUAGUUCAAUGUGGGUGUGUUUUGUUUGUCCCUCUUAAGUCACCGCCCCAAACAGGCCACCAUACCGACUGGCUUAUGAACCGUGAGAUGCAGCAUGCCAACAUGAUCGGUCAGGGAAGCCUCAAGCAUACUGCAUUUCCUGCAUUCUAGAUGUAGCUCUCUUUAAUGAAAAUUGUUUGUGAUGCUAACGUUAGCUCACGAAUGUGAGGAUGUUUGAAAGCCCAUGCCGUUUAAAACCCCCCCCCCAAAAAAACAUGAAUAUUCUUUCAAAAUAACAUUUGUGACAAUAUCUUAAACGGUAUAUAUUGUCUAAACAAGUCCAAGGUGUUGUGUGCUAAUGGUUAGUUUGGCUGCCUGUAAAUAAAUGGGUGGGUUGUAAGUUUAUUCUGGUGAGUGAUUGGAUAGCGUGAACUGGGCAGCUGUUAUCCGGAGGAUUUGAUUACUGCCAGUCGUGAUUAGACUGCCAUGCAGUGAGCCAAUGGGGGCAGGAUUUAAAUCACAACCCAACUCAUGUUAAGUUUUGACAUCCUCAGUUACACAAAUCUUACAAAACUGUUUUGGAAUAUAUUGACAUUAUGACCAAUUAUCCUACUUACAGAUUUUGGUACUGGAAUAAAUGUUUGACUGAAAUCGAUGGCACAGGUCAUUUUCAACCAGAGAAGUGGGUUCUUGUGCUCAGUUGCACUUUAAAUAUUAGUUAAUUCAAUUAAAAAUCAUUUUGUGCUACUGUGUAGUGCGCUUUCCAUGAUUUCAGUACUGUCAAGUGUUUUAUUUUUUCACUGCUCCAUUCUUACAUUUUUUUUGCUUGAGGACCUUCCCUCUAUGCUACCUUUUUAUUUAAAAAAAAAAAAUCAAGUAUUAAAUGGUGUCGUCAGCAGGAGCAGCUAUAUGUAUAAUUUAAAUCCCCCAUGUUACAUAAUCAUACAUUCUAUUUGGAAUUCUCAUUUGUUCCAUGUAAUUUGAAUAUUCUUUUGUUCAUAACUGUCACGUGUGUGUAUAGACGGACCAAGGCGCAGUGUGAGUAGCGUUCCACAUCUUUAAUAUAAAGUGAAACUAUGCAACAUAAUAAACGAAACGUGACGACAAUGAAACUACACAAACACAAUAUCCCAUAACCCACAGGUGGAAAACAUGCUACUUAAGUAUGAUCCCCAAUUAGAGACAACAAUUACCAGCUGCCUCUAAUUGGAAUCAUACAAAUCACCCAAACAGAAAAACUAAACUAGAACCCCACAUAGAAAAUAUAAACUAGAUUAACCCCCCAGUCACGCCCUGACCUACUCUACCAUAGAAAAUAAAAGCUUUCUAUGGUCAGGACGUGACAAUAACGUUUGGAAAAAAACAUAUGGAAGAGACUUUAGACAAGACAACUUAUGCAUGUAUUAAUGUAAAUUGAAAAAUGUAUGCUUUUCCUUGUUUGAAAAAUAUGGCAAAUUUGGCCUCGAAGUUCUGUCGAGGUUGUUCAUGUUCACUGGGAUAUGAAUUCCAAGAAUGUCUACUGGGCCACUUGUCCCAUGAAUGGCACACCACAUGGACUCAAAGUUGGAGUGUUUUAGGGAACCCAGGAUAAGUAGUGAGCACUUGUCAUAGUGAUGGCAUGACAAAACCAUCCAAUCCUGUAAAAAUAGAUCAGAGUCACCGUGGUUUAAAUAGAGCACAGAGCCAUCCAGACCUGACACAGAGACAUAUAAACCAUUUUUAUCCAAGUGACAAGAGACAUUGAUUUUACAAUUUAUAACAUAUAGUGGAUUACAGAAUGAAUGAGUUUACUCUACAAAUAUCAGUAUCAUAGUUAUUUAAGGCCCCUGAACUCAAUGCUUUUGCAAAUUGAAAUACAAUACCGGUUUGUAGCAUGGGAAGAGCUAAGCAUAUUAGGGAAAAUAAAAUAAUGGAGGUGAGGAAAAGUCAGAUUGAGGUUAUUUAAACAAAUACAUUCAAUUUCAAUUCUCCUGAAUUUUGAAAUAUCCUUUUUCUUCAGAAUCAUAGGUUACAUAGAACUCAUGGCAUGGCCAUAUGAUAUUUAACUUUUCUCAUAUUUCAGUGGAACUGUUUGUCUUUGUAAUGAAUCUACAGUAUAAACCACAACCUGGGAUUGGAUUCAUCCCACGAUUGAAGCUUCUUCAGUUUCUCAGCCAAUUAUAGCACAGGGGGUGAGUCAGUUUGGCAAGUCACACAGACAAGAAACAGUGCGCUGUACACACAGUAAAGGAGCAAGGGAGGAAGAUUCUAUAUAUUUAUCGUUCUUUAUCCAGACCAGUGACAUUGGGAAAGGAAUCUAUUUUUUUCACGGGAGCCCUGGCCAAGAAGUAAGAGCUAGCUAAUCUUUGUUACGGAUAGUUAGUGAAAUUCAAAACCAGUUAUUUUCUGUUAUUCCAACUAGCUAGCUUGUAUUAGCCUUAGUGGCUGUUUAUGGUGUCCAUGGAACAGCUGUUGCUCUCCCAAAAAUAGCUGCAUCUUUUAUGGGCACUUACACUGCACUUUGACUGUAUAAACGUAUUUGAUGAAUUUGGAGCUUUAAAAUGGUAAUUUUUAUUUCUGUAUUAUUGUGUUUGCACCGGGUGACAUGCCUUUAUUUUGUGGGAAAUAAAAACUCUUGAACCUGAACUCUUAUACUCUUGAACUUAUACGAGCCUUAAUAUUUAUCUCAUUCAUUCAUACCAUUGUCUCUGGGCUACACUAAAAUGGUGUUAUACACGCUAUGUGUUUUCCUGUCAGGAGGUGGCAUGAUGUCGUCAGACAGGGAUAAAGGGACAGUGUACGACAGCUUCCAGCUCAUGAACCAAUGGGAGAACAGAGCUAAGCAGUUCAGUCAGAAGGGACAACUGGAAAAGGAGAGACAAGGAAAGAGUGCCUUGAAUGGGCUUUACAAAAAGUGGCAGUCUUGCUUGGCGAACAAAAAUGGAACCCCUACGGCAGCGGAGAAGAAAGGAAAGGGCAGCGACAUAUCUGACUUCAGAAAGGUUGCGGUGAUCCCAGACAUUGAUGCUGACAUCAAAGGAGCCAUGUUUAAGGUGGUACCACCACCAAAGAUUCCCAAACCUGCUCCAUCCCCACCACCACCACCCAAAAAGAAACCACCCAAGAGGGCAAAGCCCCAAGUUCUCAAACCAGCCGGGGGCUGGGAUGAGUCAUGGAAAAGCCUGAAGCCCCCAGAGCAGGAAGUCCAACCUGAGGAAAAAUGGUGGAGGGAUUUUAAGCCAGAUAGAUACCUACCUCUCAGCGAAUGGGCAAGGCCCUUCAAGUGUCGACCACUGUUAUUCAGUUUCAUCCUUCACCAGCAAACAGAGUGGUGGCAGCGAGGAUGGCCAGUGUUCAGCCGGGAACAAAGCAACAAACUAUUGAAAGCUAAGACUUUGGAUGUCGAAGUAUACCUUCCAGGGUGGGAGGACGCUUGGAAGACAUCCAGAUCUUUAUCCAAGCAAUACAUUGAGAACAAGAUGAUUACAGAAACAGUACAGCCCAAAGCCUUCUUCCCAGGCUGGACAGAAUCUUGGAAGGUCGCAGGUGAAAAUGUCCAAAACAGUGGCCGAUAUCUUAGGGAUUGGCACGAGUCCUGGAGUUUGUGCCAAGAACACCACUGGUGCAAGGCCCCCAUAGACUCCCAGUUGAUGUCAAAACAUGUGUUCUCCGAUGAGUUGUUGAUCUCCCAGCUUGAUGAGGAGAUCCCAUCUUCAUCAGAUUGGAUAGAGUCCUGGAAAUCUGUGAAAUCUCAGCCCCAGUCCCAGUCCCAAGAGUCCCAGUCAGAGCCCAAAGGGACUGAAUUAGAGGUAGAAAUGUCCCAUGUGCCACUGCAUCUCCAGUUCCACAAGCUUAACACACCUUUCUCAAACUGGCACGAGUCUUGGAAAGUGUCAACUGCAAAUAACGAAGCAAUUGAAGAUGGAUGGAAAGGUUCCUGGAAAAUAUAUAGUCAGAAUCAAAAUCAAAAUAACACAAAAGCCCAAAGAGAUGUUGUGUUUUUCUCAAAUAAGUACAAGACCCAAAGGUUGCGGGGUGUCGACAGCAUGCCUCAGAGUGAAUGGUCUAAAUCCUGGAAGACCCCCAUGCCUCCCCAACAUACUUUCUUGCCAGGUUGGAAAGAAUCUUGGAAACAAAACAGCAAUCCAUAUUGGAAGGAUUGGCAUGAGUCCUGGAGUUUAUGCCAAGAACACCACUUUUGCAAGUCCUUUAUGAACUCCCAGUACUGCCAUCAUGCCAUGAUGAUGUCAAAAUGCUUGCUGACUAAUGAGCUGUUGAGCUCCCAGCUUGAUGAGGAGAUCCCAUCUUCAUAUGAGUGGAUAGAGUCCUGGAAAUCUGUGAAACCUUAUCCUCAGUCCCAAUCAGAUUCAGAAGAAACUGAAUCAGAGUUGGAUAUGUCCCAUGUGCCACUGCAUCUUCAGUUCUACAAGCUUAACACACCUUUCUCAAACUGGCAUGAGUCUUGGAAAGUGUCAACUGCGCAAGCUGUAGCAGGUAAAGACGAACAAGAACAUCCUUCAACAGAAUGGACUGAUUCCUGGAAGAUAUCUUGGAUGAAUCUAAAUAAAAAUGACUUAAAACCCCAAAAGGAUGUUGUAUUUUUCUCAAGGCAUAAGACUGAAUGUUUCUUGAGUGUUGACUGUAUGGUCCAGAAUGAAUGGUCUGAAUGCUGGAAGACCAUCAAGCCUACCCAAUACACUGAGACACAGGAGGAGGAGGAGGAAAAAGAUAGCCAUUCUGAUUCCUCAAAAAAUGUGUCACAUCUAAUAGAGAUUCCUUUGAAUGAUUGGGCAGAAUCAUGGAGGUUCAAGCCAGAGGACGAGAGCCCCACCUCACCCAAGACGGCACAGCCCCUAGCCCCAAAACCAGAGGAGGAGAUGCUGAAAGCCAGCACACCAUCACCUCCUCAGCCUUACAAAUACAAUCUUAACCAGGCAAGCUGGGGUGAUUCCUGGAAAAUCCUGAAGCCCCCACAGAAGGAAGUCCCAUCUGAGAAAAAAUGGUGGAGGGCGUUUAAGCAGGACAGAAAUCUACCUUUCAAUGAAUGGGCAAAGCCCUUCAAGUGUCGACCACUGCUAUUCAGUCGCUUACUGCACACACAAACAACAUCCUGGCAGCAGGGAUGGCCAGCGUUCAGCCGGGAACAAAGCAACAAACUACUGAAUGCUAAGCCUUUGGAUAACAAAGUAAACCUUCUGGAGUGGGAGGAUGCUUGGAAGACACUCAAGCGUUUACACAAGCAGCAUGCUGAGAACAAGAUGAUUACAGAAAGAGUACAGCCCGAUGGCUUCUUGCCAGGUUGGAUAGAAUCUUGGAAGGUCGCAGGUAACAAUGUCCAAAACAACAAUCCAUAUCUGAAGGAUUGGCGUGAGUCCUGGAGUUUUUGUCAUGAACAUCACUCAUACAGGGCCUCUAUAGACUCCCAGAAUCGGCAGUAUCUCCCAGUAUCACUAAAACACAAGCUGUCCAAUGAUCUGUUGAUCUCCCAGCUUGAUGAAAACAUUACGUCCUCACCAGAAGGGUGAGGACGUGCUGAAGACAACAUGCUGAAGACAACAUGCCUCAGAAUGAAUGGUCUGAAUGUUGGAAGACACAGCAGCAGCACCAGCAGCAGUUGGAGGACUGGGCAGAGUCUUGGAGGUUAUCUGUCGCCCCAGAAUCCAACAACUCAGUAUCACUAGACCGGUGGAAACAAUCAUGGAGACUCUCAAACCCAAAUCACCCACAUCAGCUUAACCAGGGCACAGAGCCUCUCAUACACAACGGCCCCAAACACCACAUGCAACUCCACGCGGUUGAACUGCCCCAGGCAGAAUGGAGCAACUCCUGGCAGUACCUCAAGUCAGACACUGGAUCCUAAUACGAAGAAGAAAACAGACAUACAGUAGAACAUUAUAACAUGUACGUCAAAUGAUCAGAUGUGUAUUUGAUCCUAUACUAUUUAUACUUAAUGUCAAUAUACAUACUUGUUAAAUGUCUUAUUACUGGACACAUUGGAGUGUGACGAGCAGAAUUCUCUGCUGCAGAGAGGAGGUUGGGGUGAAUGAAGUGUAUAAUGCGUGGUUUGCAUAGCUGUUGGAAACUUUAAACCUAACCUAAUCUCAACCUAAUCUAAUCUAUUCUAUUGAUUGAAAUGUUGUUGUUUUCUAUCGGCUGUUGUUGCUACUUCUAUUGUUGCUGGUUGUCUUUGUGACUAAAUUAAUGCUUGAUUGACGAACACUUUAUCCAUCUUGGAUUAAUAAAUAUAUUUAAUUAUCAUA
rnacentral:lncRNA from 1 species